UAAGAGUGUAGGCGUUGAGGAUGGCAGGCAAAUCCACCGUCCGAGCUGAACUUGAUAGUAUGGAGUCUUCUUCGGAAGAAUCCAAUAGUGUGGGUAAUCAUACUCCCGAGAAAAUCCGCUAAGCUUAACCCAUGCGGCACCCGUACCGCAAACGGACACACGUGGUCGGGUAGAACGUACUGAGGCGUUGAGAGAUUCAUGGUUAAGGAACUAGGCAAAUUGACCCUGUAACUUCGGGAUAAAGGGUCCUCGUGAAUAGCGAGGCGCAGAGAAUAGGUCCAGGCAACUGUUUAGCAAAAACACAGGGCUGUGCAAACUCGAAAGAUGACGUAUACAGCCUGACACCUGCCCGGUGCCGGAAGGUUAAGAGGAGAUGUCACUCGCAAGAGGAAGCAUUGAAUUGAAGCCCCGGUAAACGGCGGCCGUAACGAUAACGGUCCUAAGGUAGCGAAAUUCCUUGUCGGGUAAGUUCCGACCUGCACGAAUGGUGUAAUGAUCCGGACGCUGUCUCAACCAUGAGCUCAGUGAAAUUGUAGUAUCGGUGAAGAUGCCGAUUACCCGCGAUGGGACGAAAAGACCCCGUGAACCUUUACUACAGCUUAGCAUUGACCUUGGUCAUCCGAUGUGUAGGAUAGGCCGGAGGCUUCGAAGCGGGAGCGCCAGCUUUCGUGGAGCCAUCCUUGAAAUACGGCCCUUUGGCUGUCUGAGGUCUAACGCGUGAUACGCGGACACUGCUUGGUGGGUAGCUUGACUGGGGUGGUCGCCUCCAAAAGCGUAACGGAGGCUUCCAAAGGUGCCCUCGGGUCGAUUGGUAACCGACCUCAAAGAGUGCAAUGGCAUAAGGGCGCUUGACUGGGAGGCAGACAUGCCGAGCAGGCAGGAAACUGGGGCAUAGUGAUCCGGCGGAUGUGUAUGGAAACUCCGUCGCUCAAAGGAUAAAGGGUACUCCGGGGAUAACAGGCUGAUCCCCCCCAAGAGCUCAUAUCGACGGGGUGGUUUGGCACCUCGAUGUCGGCUCGUCACAUCCUGGGGCUGGAGAAGGUCCCAAGGGUUGGGCUGUUCGCCCAUUAAAGUGGCACGCGAGCUGGGUUCAGAACGUCGUGAGACAGUUCGGUCUCUUUCUAUCGUGGGCGUGGGAGUUUUGCGUGGUGCCGUCACUAGUACGAGAGGACCGUGAUGGACAGACCUCCGGUUUACCAGUUGUGCCGCCAGGCGCACCGCUGGGUAUCUGAGUCUGGAUUGGAUAAGCGCUGAAAGCAUCUAAGUGCGAAGCCAGCCGCAAGAUGAGAACUCCAUUGAGGGUCGUCAGAGACGAUGACGUUGAUAGGAUGCAGGUGUAAAGACAGCGAUGUCAAAGCCGAGCAUUACUAAUUGCCCU
rnacentral:rRNA from 1 species